AUGGCAGAGGAGCCGCAGCCACAGGCCGCCGCCGCCCCCGCCGCCGCGGCCACGGAGGUGGUCGUCGCCGAGAAGGCGCCGGCGGAGGUGGAGAAGAAGGCCGAGGAGCCCGCGGCGGAGGCGGAGGCCGAGGAGACGGCCGCCGUUGCCGACGACGGGGGCGCCGUCGAGGCCACCGGCUCUUUCAAGGAGGAGAGCAACCUCGUCGCCGACCUGCCUGACCCGGAGAAGAAGGCGCUCGACGAGUUCAAGGAGCUGAUCGUCGCCGCGCUCGCCGCCGGUGAGUUCAAUCUGCCCCCUCCCCCGCCGCCGCCGAAGGCCAAGACUGAGGCCGCCGCAGAGGAGACCAAGACGGAGGCGCCGGCCAAGGAGGAGGCCAAGACCGAGGAGCCGGCCAAGGCGGAAGAACCAGCCAAGGAGGAGCCCAAGGCUGAAGAGCCGGCCAAGGCCGAGGCGGCAGCGGCGGAGCCAGCAGCCGAGGAGCCCAAGGCCGUGGUCGCUGCCGAGGCAGCAGCCGAGGAGCCGGCCAAGGAGGAACCCAAGGCCGAGGAGGCCAAGCCGGCCGAGCCAAAGAAGGAGGAGGAAGCAGUCGUGGUCGCCGAGGAGGGCACCAAGACGGCGGAACCGGUCGAGGAGGCCGCCGCCGCCGCCACCACCACAGAGCAGGCAGCGGCGCCGGAACCGGAGGCGGAGGCAGCCGCGCCCGAGCCGGUGUUCAUCUGGGGCGUGCCGCUGGUGGGCGACGACGAGCGCACGGACGCGGUGCUGCUCAAGUUCCUGCGCGCGCGGGAGUUCAAGGUGAAGGAGGCGAUGGCGAUGCUCCGGUCCGCCGUGCUGUGGCGGAAGCGCUUCGGCAUCGAGUCGCUCCUGGAGGCCGACCUGGCCUUCCCGGAGCUGGAGAAGGUGGUGUUCUACCGCGGCGCCGACCGGGAGGGCCACCCGGUGUGCUACAACGUGUACGGCGAGUUCCAGGACAAGGAGGUGUACGAGAAGGCGUUCGGCGACGAGGAGAAGCGCGAGCGGUUCCUCAAGUGGCGCAUCCAGCUGCUGGAGCGCGGCAUCCUGUCGCAGCUGGACUUCGCGCCCAGCGGCAUCUGCUCCAUGGUGCAGGUCACCGACCUCAAGAACUCGCCGCCCAUGCUCGGCAAGCACCGCGCCGUCACCCGCCAGGCCGUCGCCCUGCUCCAGGACAACUACCCCGAGUUCAUCGCCAAGAAGGUGUUCAUCAACGUGCCAUGGUGGUAUCUCGCUGCCAACAAAAUGAUGAGCCCUUUCCUCACCCAGCGCACCAAGAGCAAGUUCGUGUUCGCCAGCCAGGCCAAGUCCCCUGAGACCCUUUUCAGAUACAUCGCGCCGGAGCAAGUCCCCGUCCAAUUCGGAGGCCUCUUCAAGGAAGAUGACCCUGAUUUCACAACCUCUGACUCUGUCACCGAGCUCACCAUCAAAGCUUCUUCCAAAGAAACCAUUGAGAUCCCUGUCACCGAGAACUCAACGAUUGUAUGGGAGCUCCGGGUGCUCGGCUGGGAGGUCAGCCACGGCGCGGAGUUCACCCCCGACGCUGAGGGCGCGUACACGGUCAUCGUGCAGAAGACAAGGAAGGUCCCCGCGAAUGAGGAGCCCAUCAUGAAGGGCAGCUUCAAGGCCGGCGAGGCCGGCAAGAUCGUGCUCACGGUCAGCAACGCCGCGUCGAAGAAGAAGAAGCUCCUCUACAGAUCCAAGGUGAAGUGCAGCACCGGCGAGUCCGUUGAGGCCGACAUUCCAUGA
rnacentral:rRNA from 1 species